ensembl:lincRNA Mirt1 myocardial infarction associated transcript 1
CUUUUGCAAUGCAGUUGUCAGCAGCAGUCAUGCAGCAGUAAGUGAUGGAGGCCUGAGAAGUGACCUGUUACCAUCUAAUCUCAGCAGUCACCAUUUGCCUCUCCACUGUCCCCUCCACGCCUCUGGUGAUGGCUUAGUGACUCUCCUUGCCCAGCAGGUCGGUUUUCCAAUUACUUCCAGCCGGGCCUGCUUUCCCCUGAAUUUCAUUUCCGGGCCUGUUGAAGCCAAAUUAAUUUUUAAUCACCUUUGAGGUGUUCUGUUUAAUUACCUGGGUUGAACUGAUGAGAACAGUGUGUAUGGAGGCGAAACUUUGGGGGUGCUUCUCAGGAACGGGGUGUGGGGUGUUUCUAGAGUGCUGUGCAGGUGGAGAGACAUGGGAUGCCCAGCAACAUGACAGACUAUGAGGACUAUGACGGACGGUGUAAGAGAAAGAAGAGAACCUCGUGAGUCUGCCUCACGUGACACAACCCAAAACUUCCCCUUCAGAUCCCUGCAAACGCCUGAGCUUGGAGUGGAGACUCUCACUUAGGAAGGAAAAAUGAGCUGAGGAUGUGCCAACAAACAGGCAUGUGCCAUCAAGGCCUGUUUAUGGCUGAAACCCAGGUCCUUGUGCAUAUGAGACCAGCACUCUACCAACUGAGCUAUGCGGGGACUCUGAAAACAGAUUUUUAAAAAUUCGGAUUUUUAUAAAUAAAUAUAUAUGUGUGUGUGUGUGUGUGUGUAUGAGUGUUUCCCCUAAAAGUUUGCAUGUGUGUGCAGUGCUCUGUGAAGGACACCAAACCCCCCUGGAACUGCUGUUAAAGAAGAUUAUAAGCCACCAAGAAUGGGUGUUGAGGAUAAACAGCAGUCCAGCAGAAGAGCAGCGCUUGUUCUUGACCACUCGGCCCUCUCUCUAGCCCCAGGAAGUAGAUUUCUAACAUUAUUUUACAUUAUUGAAGAAAGUUAAAGUAAUACUUUGUGGUAUGUUUUGUUGGAGACCAGCAGAAUGGGUUUACACAUUGCCCGUUGCCAACCCUCAGAGGCAGAAGCGAACAGUAGUGACACACACUGAAUGGACCGCAAAUACUUACUUCUAACCAUUUCCAGAAAAAAAAAAGGCUCUCUGACCUUUGACCCAGGCCAGUUGUGACACUCUUCUCUCUUUUUCCCCCUAAGCUUCCUUGCAGCUAGGAGUGGCCACUUGUUCUCCUCAGUCAGGCAAAGAUCUGCAGGGGAGACUGGUAUAAAGCCCUGCUGUUCCAAAGGAAAGAGUGGGAUGUGUCUGGGAACUCUCCCACCUACUUCCUGUCUGAACUGUGAGUUAGCCCUGGGGAGCCCACCCAGCCCUCUUUUAGAACCCAUCUCCUGCUGAGAGACAGGAAGCACAGGGUCAUGAGUUCAAGUAGAAGGGCUGGGUCCCCGUUGGCUACUGUCCAGGAGAAGCGGAAUGCCUGCCCUGAGCACCUGCCCAGAGGUUAGGCUACUUGUAGCCUAGAUCCGAGGAGCCACUUGUCUGCCAGGAACUUGUCAGUGGCUCCUGAUUGCCAGACCCACAUCAGUACAUGGGAAAGUUAUAAGGUAAACUAAGGUCCACUGUUGGAUUCUGGGGUCCUAGAGGCAAAAUUUCUCAGUGUUCCCUUAUCCCCGAAACUCCUAUAGCUCUCAAAAGAUAAUAAUCAAAAUAAUGUUGGAUGUUUUGGAGGAUGUUUGAGAGAUGAAUAAAUGAAUGAAUGGAUGGAUGAAUGAAUGAAUGAAUGAAUGAAUGGAAGCAUAUAGUUAUCAAGAGGGAGCUACACAGAAUUGAAAGCAGCCUGGAAAGUCUGACCUAGGUAUUCUAUUAGUUAACAAAGGAAACCGGGUUUCCAUGAGUAUAAUUGGCUUUCCUAUGGUCACAAGAGUUAGGAGGAAAAAAGUUGGGAUCCCACCUUAAGGCUGGUUCAACUCCUUGGAUACUGGCCUCUCCGGCCUCAGCUCCUUGGACAUUCCCUGAGGCAAUGCCAGACAUAAUCUGUAGAAGUAGGUGACAAAUCUACCAUCACCUAGGGGAAAGCAUGAAAGGAAACUUGAUGAGUUUGGACGACUGCCAGUCACUGCCUCUCUCCCUCGCAUCCCCCAGUUCUGCUCCUAGAAUUGCCAGGAACACGUCACCUCCUUAGCAGGUGCUCGGAACAUAUUUGGAAGAUGAGUCCCCUCGUAUCAGUGCACAUUCCUCAGCAAAAAGUCACAGGCUGCAAAACUUC